CCUAGGGAUGAUUCUUCAAUGAGUAUUUCUCCUUCAUUUGCAACCAUGGUGUCUGAAUGAAUUAUUCUGUUUCUCCAGAAAAUUGUCUCAAGUCAUCAACUCAUAUUAACUGUCAGGACUUCCUUGCCUUCUCCUUGCAAGUGUUAUGUGAAAUCUGAGGAAGAGUACUUUGAAAAAUAUUAAAUUUGGUUAUUCUCCCUUAUAAAUGAGGGAGCAAAAUUUUUACCUUUAUGUUGAAUAAAGUGAAUAAAAACCUUGUCGUGUGAAAAUGAAAAUAGAACCUUCAUUCUGUGUUCUAGAUCUGUCUGGAACAUGCCUCUGAAUCCUAAGACAGGUCAGUGAAGGAGAUGAACUGAUCUCUGGGAAUAGAGUCUGCCGCCAUCCUUCCUGCAUCAACCAGGGGUGCUCUUCUCAGGGGAUCUCAUUGAACCAGAGACCCUAGACCUGACCUAUGAGCCCUUCAACUGCCUCCCUCAUAUCUGGAAGUUCCCAAGCCAGGUUUCUCUGAGCAUGGUUUCAGCCAACCGUUUUCUGCCAUCAGCCUCUGCAAGAUGUGGCUGGACGUCAGCGUCCUUAGGCUAGGGGAAGACCUCUUGCCUUUGCAGCAUUGUUAGGGCCUCCUUUAUUCCUGAACCCUGCAGAGAACUGAUCUUCCUACUGUUUGAGUAACCACUGUUUUGUGGUAUUUGUGUGGUUUUGGCAGCCUAGGGCUCAAAACUCAGUGUGCAAACAGCAGCUGGCAGCAGUCAGAGGGCCUGUUUGUUUCUCUCAGCUCUACCUUUUCUGAAGAACCCAAGAGAAGCAAUUAGGCCAUACUUGAAAGUGAAGCCCUACAAAGAGUCUGCUCUCAUAACUUGUCUCUACUCUGCCUUGAACCUCCCAAGAGAAUAUUACUGCUCCAGCCUCCUUGCCAGGCGCUGCUGGUGGAAAUAGAAAACUAAAACUCAACCAUUCUGUGUCCAGCAAUAUCUUGCCCUUACUGUGUCUUUGCAGAGGGCUUCCCUUUUGUUACACCCUGAUUCUUGUAAAUAGCAUAUAUGGCUAGGUGUCAAGAGAGUUUCAUUUGUUUCUUUAUCUUGCUCAUAAUCUAC
rnacentral:lncRNA from 10 species